AAAUUUCUUCAUGCUUGUAAAUAUCAAUAUUGAUCCAAUUUCAAGAAGCUGAAUCUCCCAUCUUUUACCUCGCCUUCAGCUUACGUGGCUUGUGAGUUGUACAUUACAAAAAUUCACUCAACCUUUCCAAACCACACUCUAUGCCUUACAUUUAUAGUAAGUUCUACAUUACAAAAUUUUCACUUGGUACAACCCAUAUAGAGACAUACAAAGAAAUAUCAAUACAUAUUUCAAAAGGGUGGCCCAAGUGUAAAAUUAUCUCUCAACAAAAGUACAAAAUAAACUAGAAUAUUAAAUACAAAAUAUAACAAAUACACUAAAUAGAUACACGAAAAAACUCAUUCAAAAUUCAUAUCACAAUAAGUAGGACAUCAACCACCAACGAAACAUAAUAACAACACAUCCAAACAUAUAUAACAAAAUAAAAAAAUAACAUAAAAAAAUUAUAAUCACAUUCAUCAACGAAACAUUACAUUCAAAACAAAUAUUACAAUAUUCCGAAAAAACAUCACAAUUACAAAAAAAAUAACACAUAUAACACAUUCAUCAAGCAAGACCAAUACAAAAAAUUACAAUAUUCCAAAAAAAGUUUAAUAACUAUCGGUAAACAUAUAUAACACAUUUUAUAUAAUAUAUAUUUAUAUAAUAUAUAUAUAUGGGAACUGAUCCGUGGACAACGUUAGCUAUUGUCCCUAUUUCAACUAACGCUCAUCCAGCCGUCCAAAAUUGGAGUUAAUGGCUGAGAUGAGCGCCCAGCCGCUAGGGGGAGUAGCGGCCAGCAAAAAAAAAAUUUGGCUUAAUUACUGAUUAUCCUAAUUAUUCUCGUAAAAUAAAAUAAAAUAAUAAAUAAUUAUAAGGAUAAUCAGUAAUUAUCUUUAUACUUAUCCUUAUACUUAUUAACAAAAUAAGUAUGUAUAAGAAUAAUGACUGAUUAUUGUUUUAUGAUUUUUAAUUAUAAAUAGAAAAUAGUGAUUGAGUUUAUAUAUUUGAGUAGGAAUAUAAUAUAAAUUCAAUCACUAUUUUCUAUUUAUAAUUAAAAAUCAUAAGAUGAUAAUCAGUAAUUAUUCUUAUACAUAAGAUUGAAUUUAUAUUAUAUUCAUACUCAAAUAUAUAAAUUCAAUCUUAUGUAUAAGGAUAAUUACUGAUUAUCAUCUUAUGAUUUUUAAUUAUAAAUAGAAAAUAGUGAUUGAAUUUAUAUUAUAUUCCUACUCAAAUAUAUAAACUCAAUCACUAUUUUCUAUUUAUAAUUAAAAAUCAUAAAACAAUAAUCAGUAAUUAUUCUUAUACAUACUUAUUUUGUUAAUAAGUAUAAGGAUAAGUAUAAAGAUAAUUACUGAUUAUCCUUAUAAUUAUUUAUUAUUUUAUUUUAUUUUACGAGAAUAAUUAGGAUAAUCAGUAAUUAAGCCAAAUUUUUUUUUUUGCUGGCCGCUACUCCCUCUAGCGGCUGGGUGCUCAUCUCAGCCACUAACUCUAAUUUUGGACGGCUAGAUGAGCGUUAGUUGAAAUAGGGACAAUAGCUAACGUUGUCCAUGGAUCAGUUCCCUAUAUAUAUAUAUAUAUAUAUAUAUAUAUAUAUAUAUAUAUAUAUAUAUAUAUAUAUAUAAUAUAAUGUGUAUNNNNNNNNNNNNNNNNNNNNNNNNNNNNNNNNNNNNNNNNNNNNNNNNNNNNNNNNNNNNNNNNNNNNNNNNNNNNNNNNNNNNNNNNNNNNNNNNNNNNGUGUAUCUAUACAUACAUAUGUAUAUUACGUAUAUAAUAUAAUAUAUAUUAUACUCUUAUACAGAUAUAUAUGUAUACAUACACAUGUAUAUUAUGUAUAUUACAUAAUAAUAUAAUAUAAAUAUAUCACUUUCCUAAAUAUUUAGAACCUAUAAAACGAGCCAUCUUCUACGCCUAUACCUACUUACGGCUCUUUUUCUACUUAAAUCUAUCACAAAAUUCAAAUCCCACUACAUUCUUACUACCUCCCUUUUCUCUUCAAGAAAGGCUGCUACUUUUGUCAAACCUGUGUUCUCAAACAAAGAUUGAAGUUAGAAAGAAAUAAGAAUAAAAAAAAUAUAUAUCGAUAAAUAGUACCUCAUGUUAUAAGAGAAGUAAAAACUUCUAAAUUUAGCAAGUUUGCUAAGAAUCAAUACAACCUGCAAAAUAUUAUAAAAAUUUUGUUCAAACUUAUAGCGCAUUAGUACAAUAUCAUUCAAACAACAUUUUCUAAUUUAAAUAAUACCUUUGCUACUGAAAUUUCUUCAUGCUUGUAAAUAUCAAUAUUAAUCCAAUUUCAAGAAGCUGAAUCUCCCAUCUAUUACCCUCGUCUUCAGCUUACAUGGCUUGUGAGUUGUACAUUAUGAAAAUUCACUCAACAUUUCCAAACCACACCCUAUGCCUUACAUUUAUAGUAAGUUCUACAUUACAAAAUUUUCACUUGGCACAACCCAUCUAAAGACAUACAUAGAAAUAUCAAUACAUAUUCAAAAGGGUGCCCCAAGUGUAAAAUUAUCUCUCAACAAAAGUACAAAAUAAACUAGAAUAUUAAAUACAAUAUAACAAAUACACUAAAUAGAUACACGAAAAAACUCAUUCAAAAUUCAUAUCACAAUAAGUAGGACAUCAACCACCAACGAAACAUAAUAAUAAAACAUCCAAACAUAUAUAACAAAAUAAAAAAACAACACCACAAAAAAAUUACAAUGACAUUCAUCAACGAAUCAUCACAUUUACAAACAAAAUCAACAUUUAUAAAAAAAUUAUAAUAUUCCAACGAAACAUCACAUUCAAAACAAAUAUUAUAAUAUUCCGACGAAACAUCACACAAUAACAAAAAAAAAAUAACACAUAUAUAACACAUUCAUCAAGCAAGACCAAUACAAAAAAUUACAAUAUUCCGAACAAAGUUUAAUAACUAUCUGUAAACAUAUAUAACACAUUUUAUAUAAUAUAAUAAUGUGUAUCUAUACAUACAUAUGUAUAUUACGUAUAUAACAUAAUAUAUAAUAUAAUACAUAAAUAGAUAUACAUGUAUUCAUACACGUGUAUAUAUAAUAUAAUAGAUAUACAUCACAUAGAUAUAUUACAUAAUAAUAUAAUAUAAUUAUAUCACUAUCCUAAAUAUUUAGAACCUAUAAAACUAGCCAUCUUCUACGCCUAUACCAACUUACGACUCUUUUUCUACCAAAAUCUAUCACAAAAUCUAAAUCCCACUACAUUCUUACUACCUUCCUUUUCUCUCCAAGAGGCAACUUUUGUCAAACCUGUGUUCUCAAACAAAAAUUGAAGUUAGAAAGAAAUCAUAAUAAAAAAGAAAAUGUACCAAUAAAUAGUACCUCAUAUUCCAAGAGAAGUAAAAACUUCUAUAUUUAGCAAGCUUACUAAGAAUAAAUACAACCUGCAAAAUAUUACUAAAAUUUUGUUCAAACUUAUAUCACAUUAGUACAAUAUCAUUCAAACAACAAUUUCUAAUUUAAAUAAUAUAUUUGCUACUGAAAUUUCUUCAUGCUUGUAAAUAUCAAUAUUGAUCCAAUUUCAAGAAGCUGAAUCUCGCAUCUUUUACCCUCGUCUUCAGCUUACAUGGCUUGUGAGUUGUACAUUACAAAAAUUCACUCAACCUUUUCAAACCACACUAUGCCUUACAUUUAUAGUAAGUUCUACAUUACAAAAUUUUCAAUUGGCACAACCCAUAUAGAGAUAUACAAAGAAAUAUCAAUACAUAUUCAAAAGGGUGUCCCAAGUGUAAAAUUAUCUCUCAAUAAAAGUACAAAAUAAACUAGAAUAUUAAAUACAAAAUAUAACAAAUACACUAAAUAGAUACACGAAAAAACUCAUUCAAAAUGCAUAUCACAAUAAGUAGGAGGACAUUAACCAC
rnacentral:lncRNA from 1 species